AAUAUCACAGCAUAUUAAACAGCUCAAUCAGGAUUAUAAUUCAAAAUGUCUUCCCAUAGUAUAUUAUGUGUAUUUAUGGUUCUCGUCGCAACUGUUUAUAGUCAGGUUAUACUACCUCCGACAAUAACAGGCGGACCAGGUAUUGUAACCAACAGCCAAAACAAUCCUAGCUACUACCAGAGCAUCUCCGGACAACAACAGCAACAGGGGGUCAAUCAAAUUGAUCCCAUGACUCUGCUAUUAUUGACUCGAGGAGAAGGUGGAAUUAGACGAAUCCUCCCGUUUCUAUUAUCUGGACAAUUUGGACAGAACAACCAACUUUUAAACAUACUGUUGCUUAGAUCUCUUUCUGGAUAAUCUUUGAACUCACAUUAUCUAUAACUCUUUUUCUUGCAUUAUUUCAUGUUUAAAACUUACAACAUUAAAUUUGUA